CGCGUCUACUCCACAUAAUAGACGCGGACCGCCGGAAAAGGAGGAAACCCUUCCGCAAGACUUGCGGUGCGGCAGUGUGGAGACCUGCCGUAAUGCGCACCGUUCCAUCGCGGACGGGCGUGAGAUACGUUUGACGGAGGUCAACGUGUUAAAGUCGCUUACAUGGCA
rnacentral:ncRNA from 1 species